rnacentral:lncRNA from 1 species
GUCUGAGACCGCUCCCAGUGACCCCAUGGGCGUGAUGGAUGCUGAAACAGACCGAGGGCGAGUGCUGGGGCCUGGGGCAUGAAAAUGCCCAGCAGUAAAAGCAGCACUCGUCUGAUCUCAGUGCCUCCCAGGUUUCUUGGAACUGGGUUUGAGUCAGUUCCCAGUGCAGGCCGCCAGCAGAGCUUUGUGGUGCUUCAGCAGCAAUCACCUGCAAACCCAUCUCCCUGCCAGUGCACGGGGCAGCACCAGGAACAGCCCAAUUAGCAGCCAGGUCAGGGCUAAUGAGCCAUGCCAUGGGCUGUGCUGCUGUGGUCGCUCCUGGCCGGGCUGCUGCCUUCAGCUCCGCUCAGUGCUGCGCAGGGAGCAGCAUUUGUGCAUCAGCAGACACAGAGCAUGGAGUGAUGCCCCCAUGUCUGCAGGGUCCUACAGCCUCUGUCCCUGACCCAAAGGGCUGUGCUCCGGGAGAGCAGCAGCCGAGGAAGAGGCAAUUAUUUGUCAGAGGUUUGGAGCUGCAGUUACAGCCCAGAGCCCCGAGUGCUGCUGCCUCAGGCACAGCAGCUCCCAGCACAGUGCUGUGUUUGCACGCCAACGACAUUUUCUUUGGGUGGUACCAACAUUCAAGGAGCCCGUUGUGCUGGGGGUGCUCUGGCCCCAUGCAGUGGGGCAGCUGCGGGUUGAGGCACAAAGGAGAAAUUGAUGGGGCCAAGCACACUGCACGCGUUAUGGGGCAGCUCCGGGCUGCUCCCCAACAAAGCGCUGCCUUCAGCCCCUUCAAGAGGGGAGGAGGACACACAGGGGAGCGUUCCUGGAUCUCCUGGCAGGAGCAGCUGGGAGAGCUGUGCAGCACAGGGCUGAGCUCAGCCCUUCCCGAGGUGCAUCCUGUGCUGCAAGAACCGGCGCUGCACUGCCGAGUGCCACUGCUGUGCAGCUGAAGUGCAGCUUCAGUUCAGGGCAGAGAUCAUUGGGUCUGAAGCACCGUAUGCUGAGAGCUGUGGCUGUGCGGGAGCCCCUAUGGGCCACUCCUGUGUGACAGAUGCUGUUGGAAAUGAGGGAGACCCAACGUUGGCCAUCAGACACGCAGCCACCGCUGCUCUGCAGGACACCAAAGGGCACAGCGUAAUGAUGGGUGUGCAGAGCAGAGGGCUGAGAUGGGGCAGAGCUGCUGCACUGCUGGGCACAGGGAGGGCCCUCCUGCAGCAGUGCCCACCACCUCGGCCCUCUGCUGAAACAGUCACGUGUGGGGCCAAGAAGACACCCUGUUCACCCCCCCCAUAUCCCCACACUGCUGGCAACAGCCCUGCAGCUCCCAGCCCCCCCAAGUGCCAUAUGGGGGCUGCAGUGGAGUGUUCUCCCCUGGACAACUCCAACUGCUGCUGCGCUGAGCUGAGCUGCACCUCCCUGAUGUGGGGCUGCUGCUUCCUCACCUCACUGCUGCUCCACUUCCUCUUCCUUCACGUCCCUCCCUGCACUGUUCACUGCUCAGUGCAGAUGCUCUGUGGAAAGCAGAAGAAAUGGGGGGGGGGGUGGGGGUUAUUUUUAGAAGCUGCAAAAGGAAUUCAACCCAAGGCAAAUGCAAUUACUUCAGGUUGCAAGCAGGCUUCUGAGCGGCGAGAAUCAUCUUUUAAAUAGCAACUGGCCUAAAAUCAAUGCCACAGAGCAAUGAGAGCAUCGUUUAACCAUUUGAGAACAUUUACAGGAGCCAAAUGGGGCGGGGGGAGGACGGACAGUGCUGGCUGCUGCAGACACCCCGAUGGCAGCCCAUGGUGUGCUGUGUCCCACCCCAGGAGCCGUGCAUCCACUGCUGCCCUGGGCAGAGCCCCAUGCUGCUCUCAGCCUGCGUGCUGUGCUGCCUUCAGGGCACAUUUCUGCUGCAGGGCUCUCCCUGAUGCUAUUCCUGGACCACUUUUUGGGCCCUCAUGGCCCACAGCUGCUGCUGCUGGGCUGUUCUGGAGCGGGGAUGGAGGAGGGGCGGGGGGGGCUCCUUGUUCAGAGCUUUCACUCUGCAACUGCACCGCGUGAGAGGCUGAGCUCCAUUGCUGCUCCUCUGCUCUGC